rnacentral:tRNA from 1 species
GGGUGCGUAGCUCAGCGGGAGAGCGCUCCCCUCACACGGGAGAGGUCACAGGUUCAAUCCCUGUCGCACCCACCA